rnacentral:rRNA from 1 species
UGAGGAAUAUUGGUCAAUGGACGAGAGUCUGAACCAGCCAAGUAGCGUGCAGGAUGACGGCCCUAUGGGUUGUAAACUGCUUUUGUAUGGGGAUAAAGUCAAUCACGUGUGAUUGUUUGCAGGUACCAUACGAAUAAGGACCGGCUAAUUCCGUGCCAGCAGCCGCGGUAAUACGGAAGGUCCGGGCGUUAUCCGGAUUUAUUGGGUUUAAAGGGAGCGUAGGCUGGAGAUUAAGUGUGUUGUGAAAUGUAGACGCUCAACGUCUGAAUUGCAGCGCAUACUGGUUUCCUUGAGUACGCACAACGUUGGCGGAAUUCGUCGUGUAGCGGUGAAAUGCUUAGAUAUGACGAAGAACUCCGAUUGCGAAGGCAGCUGACGGGAGCGCAACUGACGCUUAAGCUCGAAGGUGCGGGUAUCGAACAGGAUUAGAUACCCUGGUAGUCCGCACAGUAAACGAUGGAUGCCCGCUGUUGGUACCUGGUAUCAGCGGCUAAGCGAAAGCAUUAAGCAUCCCACCUGGGGAGUACGCCGGCAACGGUG